GAUGAACGCUGGCGGCGUGCCUAAUACAUGCAAGUCGAGCGAACAGAUGAGGAGCUUGCUCCUCUGACGUUAGCGGCGGACGGGUGAGUAACACGUGGAUAACCUACCUAUAAGACUGGGAUAACUUCGGGAAACCGGAGCUAAUACCGGAUAAUAUAUUGAACCGCAUGGUUCAAUAGUUAAAGACGGUUUUGCUGUCACUUAUAGAUGGAUCCGCGCCGCAUUAGCUAGUUGGUAAGGUAACGGCUUACCAAGGCAACGAUGCGUAGCCGACCUGAGAGGGUGAUCGGCCACACUGGAACUGAGACACGGUCAAGACUACUACGGGAGGCAGCAGUAGGGAAUGUGCCGCAAUGGGCGAAAGCAGGACGGAGCAACGCCGCGUGAGUGAUGAAGGUCUUCGGAUCGUAAAACUCUGUUAUUAGGGAAGAACAAAUGUGUAAGUAAAUAUGCACGUCUUGACGGUACCUAAUCAGAAAGCCACGGCUAACUACGUG
rnacentral:rRNA from 1 species